rnacentral:rRNA from 1 species
AUGAACGCUGACAGAAUGCUUAACACAUGCAAGUCAACUUGAACUUCGGUUUGGGUGGCGGACGGGUGAGUAACGCGUAACGAACUUGCCUCACAGCUAGGGACAACAUUUGGAAACGAAUGCUAAUACCUGAUAUUAUGAUUUUAGGGCAUCCUAGAAUUAUGAAAGCUAUAUGCGCUGUGAGAGAGCUUUGCGUCCCAUUAGCUAGUUGGAGAGGUAACGGCUCACCAAGGCGAUGAUGGGUAGCCGGCCUGAGAGGGUGAACGGCCACAAGGGGAAUGAGACACGGCCCUUACUCCUACGGGAGGCAGCAGUGGGGAAUAUUGGACAAUGGACCAAGAGUCUGAUCCAGCAAUUCUGUGUGCACGAUGAAGUUUUUCGGAAUGUAAAGUGCUUUCAGUUGGGAAGAAAAAAAUGACGGUACCAACAGAAGAAGUGACGGCUAAAUACGUG